rnacentral:rRNA from 1 species
GGGUUCGAUUGCACUGUAGAGAAUGGUUUCCCCUUCGGGGGCAACGGUGACAGGUGGUGCAUGGUUGUCGUCAGCUCGUGUCGUGAGAUGUUGGGUUAAGUCCCGCAACGAGCGCAACCCUUGAUCUUAGUUGCCAUCAUUUAGUUGGGCACUCUAAGGUGACUGCCGGUGACAAACCGGAGGAAGGUGGGGAUGACGUCAAAUCAUCAUGCCCCUUAUGACCUGGGCUACACACGUGCUACAAUGGACGAUACAAACGGUUGCCAACUCGCGAGAGGGAGCUAAUCCGAUAAAGUCGUUCUCAGUUCGGAUUGUAGGCUGCAACUCGCCUACAUGAAGCCGGAAUCGCUAGUAAUCGCGGAUCAGCAUGCCGCGGUGAAUACGUUCCCGGGUCUUGUUACACACGCCA